UUGAAGUCGUAACUUACGGGCUAAAAAUGGUGUCUGGAACACAGCAUAGGUCGGUUGAGGCUCGGCGAGAGAACGAGUUGCGUCAAUGAAAUUUACGCCCAUGGCCGAAGUGUUUAGCCUAGUCCCACUCUACUGUGCUGUGAUUGGCUAGUUCUACUGUAGUAUGCUCUAUUGACGUUCUGUUUCAACAUCGGACUACAUCGCAAGAGGGGUUUUGAAAAGACAUGGCCAAGAAGAUUCCGAGUGUAAUACACCAGGAUCAUACUAGUCAAGGCAUGAUGCAGUCGGAGUCUUAUUAUCAAUAUAGAAAGUGAUAAUAAUGAUGACAAUGGAUGAGAGAGGGAGCUCAUGUUAGAGGUUAACUGAGAUGUGAGGGUGUGUUGGCUGCCUACGUACAAGUGACAGGUUUGGCAAAACUCCAAGAGCUUUGACACAGACUAUCACCGAGUGCAUUCGUCAUCAGGAAUUCAAAGUUUGCAUCUCUGAAAUGACGAGGCCAUAACUACUUGUGAAGAACAUUUGCAAAUGGCUACAAACGCUUGCUGUUGUUGUUACUGCAUUAUGUUUUGGCUGAAAAAGACGUGCUACGAAAUAAAAGCUUUACUGAACGAUA